CCUACGGGGGGCUGCAGUGGGGAAUAUUGGACAAUGGGGGGAACCCUGAUCCAGCCAUGCCGCGUGUGUGAAGAAGGCCCUCGGGUUGUAAAGCACUUUCAGUGAGGAAGAACGCCUGGUGGUUAAUACCCAUCAGGAAAGACAUCACUCACAGAAGAAGCACCGGCUAACUCCGUGCCAGCAGCCGCGGUAAUACGGAGGGUGCGAGCGUUAAUCGGAAUUACUGGGCGUAAAGCGCGCGUAGGUGGCUUGAUAAGCCGGUUGUGAAAGCCCCGGGCUCAACCUGGGAACGGCAUCCGGAACUGUCAAGCUAGAGUGCAGGAGAGGAAGGUAGAAUUCCCGGUGUAGCGGUGAAAUGCGUAGAGAUCGGGAGGAAUAGCAGUGGCGAAGGCGGCCUUCUGGACUGACACUGACACUGAGGUGCGAAAGCGUGGGUAGCAAACAGGAUUAGAUACCCUAGUAGUC
rnacentral:rRNA from 1 species